rnacentral:rRNA from 1 species
AGAGAUUAGAGUUUGAUCAUGGCUCAGAUUGAACGCUGGCGGCAGGCUUAACACAUGCAAGUCGAGCGGAAACGAUGGUAGCUUGCUAUCAGGCGUCGAGCGGCGGACGGGUGCGUAACGCGUAGGAAUCUGCCCAGUAGCGGGGGAUAGCCCGGAGAAAUCCGGAUUAAUACCGCAUAAGCCCCACGGGGGAAAGCAAGGGAUCUUCGGACCUUGCGCUAUUGGAUGAGCCUGCGUCGGAUUAGCUUGUAGGUGGGGUAAUGGCCUACCUAGGCAACGAUCCGUAGCUGGUCUGAGAGGAUGAUCAGCCACACUGGGACUGAGACACGGCCCAGACUCCUACGGGAGGCAGCAGUGGGGAAUAUUGCACAAUGGGCGCAAGCCUGAUGCAGCCAUACCGCGUGUGUGAAGAAGGCUCUAGGGUCGUAAAGCACUUUAAGCAGGGAGGAAGGCCUAAUGGUUAAUAUCUAUUAGGAUUGACGUUACCUGCAGAAUAAGCACCGGCUAACUCCGUGCCAGCAGCCGCGGUAAUACGGAGGGUGCAAGCGUUGUUCGGAAUCACUGGGCGUAAAGGGCGCGUAGGCGGCCAAGCAAGUCAGAUGUGAAAGCCCACGGCUCAACCGUGGAAGUGCAUUUGAAACUGCUUGGCUUGAGUAUCAGAGGGGAAAGUGGAAUUCCCGGUGUAGAGGUGAAAUGCGUAGAGAUCGGAAGGAACAUCAGUGGCGAAGGCGGCUAUCUGGACCAAUACUGACGCUGAGGUGCGAAAGCGUGGGGAGCAAACAGGAUUAGAUACCCUGGUAGUCCACGCCGUAAACGAUGUCAACUAGCCGUUGGGGGGCUUGUCCCCUUAGUGGCGCAGCUAACGCGAUAAGUUGACCGCCUGGGGAGUACGGCCGCAAGGUUAAAACUCAAAUGAAUUGACGGGGGCCCGCACAAGCGGUGGAGCAUGUGGUUUAAUUCGAUGCAACGCGAAGAACCUUACCAGGUCUUGACAUCCAGAGAAUUUAAUAGAGAUAGUUUAGUGCAUUAGCGAAAUCCGUGACCGGUGCUGCAUGGAUGUCGUUCAGCUCGUGUUGUGAAAUGUUGGGUUAAGUCCCGUAACGAGCGCAACCCUUGUCCUUAGUUACCAUCAUUUAGUUGGGUACUUUAAGGAGACUGCCGGUGACAAACCGGAGGAAGGCGGGGACGACGUCAAGUCAUCAUGGCCCUUACGAGUAGGGCUACACACGUGCUACAAUGGCUGGUACAAACGGUUGCAAUCUCGCGAGGGUGAGCUAAUCUGAGAAAGCCAGUCGUAGUCCGGAUCGGAGUCUGCAACUCGACUCCGUGAAGUCGGAAUCGCUAGUAAUCGUGAAUCAGAAUGUCACGGUGAAUACGUUCCCGGGCCUUGUACACACCGCCCGUCACACCAUGGGAGUGGGUUGCUCCAGAAGUAGCUAGACUAACCUUCGGGAGGUCGGUUACCACGGUGUGAUUCAUGACUGGGGUGAAGUCGUAACAAGGUAGCCG